rnacentral:rRNA from 1 species
CCUACGGGAGGCUGCAGUGAGGAAUAUUGGUCAAUGGACGAGAGUCUGAACCAGCCAAGUAGCGUGAAGGAUGACUGCCCUAUGGGUUGUAAACUUCUUUUAUAUGGGAAUAAAAUGUUCCACGUGUGGGAUUUUGUAUGUACCAUAUGAAUAAGGAUCGGCUAACUCCGGGCCAGCGGCCGGGGUAAGGCGGGGGAGGCGAGGGUGGGGCGGGUGUGGGGGGGUUGAAGGGAGCGUAGGUGGAUUGUUAAGUCAGUUGUGAAAGUUUGCGGCUCAACCGUAAAAUUGCAGUUGAAACUGGCAGUCUUGAGUACAGUAGAGGUGGGCGGAAUUCGUGGUGUAGCGGUGAAAUGCUUAGAUAUCACGAAGAACUCCGAUUGCGAAGGCAGCUCACUGGACUGCAACUGACACUGAGGCUCGAAAGUGUGGGUAUCAAACAGGAUUAGAUACCCCAGUAGUC